CCUACGGGAGGCAGCAGUAGGGAAUCUUUCACAAUGGGCGAAAGCCUGAUGGAGCAACGCCGCGUGCAGGAUGAAGGCCCUCGGGUUGGAAACUGCUUUUAUAAGCGAGAAAUAUGAUGGUAACUUAUGAUUAUGGAUCGGCUAACUACGUGCCAGCAGCCGCGGUCAUACGUAGGAUCCGAGCAUUAUCCGGAGUGACUGGGUGUAAAGAGUUGCGUAGGUGGCAUAAUAAGUAGCUAGUGAAAUCUGGUGGCUCAACCAUUCAGACUAUUAGCUAAACUGUUAAGCUCGAGACCGUUAGGGGUAACUGGAAUUUCUAGUGUAGGAGUGAAAUCCGUAGAUAUUAGAAGGAACACCAAUAGCGUAGGCAGGUUACUGGGACGGUUCUGACACUAAGGCACGAAAGCGUAGGGAGCAAACGGGAUUAGAUACCCGUGUAGUC
rnacentral:rRNA from 1 species